UGGGGAAUAUUGGACAAUGGGGGCAACCCUGAUCCAGCCAUGCCGCGUGAGUGAUGAAGGCCUUCGGGUUGUAAAGCUCUUUUGGCGGGGACGAUGAUGACGGUACCCGCAGAAUAAGCCCCGGCUAACUUCGUGCCAGCAGCCGCGGUAAGACGAAGGGGGCUAGCGUUGUUCGGAAUUACUGGGCGUAAAGCGAGUGUAGGCGGUUGCCGUAGUCAGGUGUGAAAGCCUUGAGCUCAACUCAAGAAAUGCACUUGAUACUGGGUGACUAGAGGACCGGAGAGGAUAGUGGAAUUCCCAGUGUAGUGGUGAAAUACGUAGAGAUUGGGAAGAACACCAGUGGCGAAGGCGGCUAUCUGGACGGUUACUGACGCUAAGACUCGAAAGCGUGGGGAGCAAACAGGAUUAGAUACCCUGGUAGUCCACGCCGUAAACGAUGGGUGCUAGACGUUGGCGAGCUUGCUCGUCAGUGUCGCAGCUAACGCGUUAAGCACCCCGCCUGGGGAGUACGGCCGCAAGGGUUGAAACUCAAAAUGAAUUGACGGGGGUCAUAGCUGUUUCCU
rnacentral:rRNA from 1 species